rnacentral:lncRNA from 1 species
GGUCACUAAGGGGAUAAUACAUAAGACAAAUGAAAGAACAGUAUAUUAAAGGGACAAAAUAGGCACUCAGACCACUUCAGCUCAUUGAAGUGGUCUGGGUGCAAUGUUCCUGACAUUGGAGCACUAGGACAGCCUCUAGUGGCUGUCUACUAGACACCCACUAGAGUGCUUCUGGUAUUUUACUGGAUUUUAGGUCACCUCACUGAUGCUGAACAUUUUCACGCUCUGCAUGAGGAUAUCCAGUGACAGUGAAAACCAUGUAGGAAAGCAUUGAAUCCAUUGCCACGCAUGUGUAUUAGCCCUGCCUGUUGGAUGACAUUGGAGGAGGCGGAGCACUGACCCAGCACCAAGGGACAUCGACACUGGGAUUGGGAAAGUGAUUAUUCGCUAGAGGUGUGCACGAGGGAGUUGGGGUCAAAGGGCUCCAUAGUGUUUGGAAUACAGUUUUGUAUUUGUAACAUAGAUACCUUUAAUGUUUUAUGUACUUUAAUGGCAAUAAAAAAAUAUUAAUAGUGAACAGAUAAGAAAGGGAAUAGGUGACUCGUAUCUGUGAAACUUGGUUUAUAUGCAAUGUUCUAUACUUCCGUGUUUAAAAGUCAAUAAAGUCCUCUGGGGAACAUUAGCAGCAUAAGCUAGGAUGUGACUAAGUACAUCCUAAUCCAUGAUCAUAUUAUCCUCCCUGUCCCCCAUUUAACAUCUUUUGAGUCAGUUUGAUUUAGCUUCUUAUUUGGGUUAACUAUUUUUAACAAUAGUUCAGUUGAUCUAUUUAACCAGCUCAACCCCCCUUCCCCCACCCCUUAAUUUUGUAUAAAAUAACGCAUACAGAUACAUACACGGACACACAUGCUAAUACACAGAAUGACACAAAUUCAGAUACACAGAAUGACACUUCUACAGAUACAAACACUGACAAACAUACAGAUACACAGACACACAUGCGGAUACACAGACACACAUAUAGACACAUGCAGAUACACAUGCACAGAAUGUAACGCAUACAGAAACAAACAGUGACACACAUAUAGAUACAUAUGGGCACACCGAGUUAAUUAUAACACAUGCAGAUAAACAUACAGACACGUGCAGAAAAACAGAUACACAUACACACAUAUGCAGACAAACAGAUACACAAAGAGACACAAAUGCAGAUACACAGACACACUUAAUGACAAACAAACAUUCAGAUACACAGAAUGAUAUGCAUACAGAUAUAAACUGUGACACACAUACAGAUACAUAGAGGCACACACUGACACACAUGCAAACAGAUACACAUACAGACAUACAGAUACCCAUACAUACAAACAGAUACACAUACAGACACACAUGCACGCACACACACACAUACAGAUACAGACAGACAUUCACACACACACAAACACAGAUACAGACAUUCAAGCACACACACACACAGAUACAUACAUUCACACACAUGCGUACACACAGAUACAGACAUUCACACACACAUACAGACACACGGAUACAGACAUUCACACACACACACACACACAAACUGUUACAAAUUUUAAUCACACUCCUGUUUCCUACCUUUAGGUGCAGGAGGGUGACUUCCCUGAGGUCCAGUGGCUGCCUUCGGCUGAUGGGAGUCAGAGCUCCCACGCUGACUCCCUACUCUCUACUUGCACGGCUCUCUUAGCUGGGAGGAAGUGACUGCACUCUGACGUCAUCACUGGGGCCCGGUCACGCCCUUAAAGCGCCCCAGCAAUGACCGGGCCUCAGGUAAUUCAUUUCCAUCGGGUGGCCCCAAGAGAAUGGGCCACCCGAUGGGCCCGUUCAAUGCAGCCCCGGCGGUUGUUCCAUGUGGCCAGUGCCGCACCAAAAUCUCGGCAGGCACCUGCGACCGCGGUAGUUCUGCCACUGCACCAAGCCCAGAAAAACCAGAUGCAUAUUUUAUUACAACUCAUUUUUGUUUACAUUCCAGUGUUGCUGCUUAAAGAGUUAAUUAUAAAAGUGGAACUGGACUAAGUGUGGUGCUCUUAGUCCACUAAAUAUGCAGUGAGUUGUAAAGUGAUCCACAAUAAUGUUUUAGAAGCAAAGCAUAAAUAAUGCAACUGGAAUACUAUUGCAUCCCUAUUUAUUAUUACUACUCUAAUGUUUAUUACCCAUAUUCUUACAGUGAUGGUGUUUGCAUUUAAUGAUGUAUAUUGUUUAACACUAGAGAGUGAUAUAUUGCUGUAGAGGUCAUUAGUUUGCUGAAGAAAUAGGUAAAAUAAAUACUAAGCUAAAGGUUCACUCUAGUUUGUUGUUAAAAUAAUCUUUUAAUGAAUUAUAGUGUAUUAUAAUAUAUAUAUAUAUA